ACGCACGCUGGCGGCGUGCUUAACACAUGCAAGUCGAACGGUAAGGCUCCAGCUUGCUGGGGUACACGAGUGGCGAACGGGUGAGUAACACGUGGGUGACCUGCCCUGCACUUCGGGAUAAGCCUGGGAAACUGGGUCUAAUACCGGAUAGGACCAUGGUGUGGAUACUGUGGUGGAAAGUUUUUUCGGUGUGGGAUGGGCCCGCGGCCUAUCAGCUUGUUGGUGGGGUAAUGGCCUACCAAGGCGGCGACGGGUAGCCGGCCUGAGAGGGUGGACGGCCACAUUGGGACUGAGACACGGCCCAGACUCCUACGGGAGGCAGCAGUGGGGAAUAUUGCACAAUGGGCGGAAGCCUGAUGCAGCGACGCCGCGUGGGGGAGGACGGCCUUCGGGUUGUAAACUCCUUUCACCAUCGACGAAGGGUUUCUGACGGUAGAUGGAGAAGAAGCACCGGCUAACUACGU
rnacentral:rRNA from 1 species